CCUCUCGUAGCUUAGUGGUAGUGCAAUGGGGUGUGAAGCCGAGGUCCCGGGUUCGAUUCCCGCCGAGGGCA
rnacentral:tRNA from 1 species